UGGCGGACCUCUUAGGUUCAAUCUUUAAAUCAAUGGAAAAACCUUGAACAGUCGACGACAAGGAGAGCCGACGAAAAGCCCGAGAACAGGCAGCAAGAAUGAAGAAGAGGAGGAUGAGAAGAAAAAGAAAAGGAUGGUGAAAGAGGUGUCCGAAUUCAUUCAAGAGAGUAAAUAACAGAAGAGGAAGUACAAUUCCAUGGGAAAGAUUGAAAGGAGCAUAUUGAGUUUGCUCCAUCAGACGAUGAGCUGGAGGCUUACCGGAAAUGAAUGGAGUGGGACCCCCAGAAAGCUGAAUAUAGGCGCAGACUUAAAGUAAGACUGGAGACAAACAGUCGCUCACAUUCACUGAGGAACAAAACUGAAGAGAGCACAGACUACUAUGCGUCACACAAUUGAGUCUUGCUCCACCUUAGAUAUACUCACUCUAACAGUACUCAUUUGAGGUUGGGUUCAGAGCUGUUGCUUGAAGAAACUGUUUGAUUAUGGAACCUGUCCACUGCUCUUCAGGAACAGGCUGCGUUGGAAGAGGAGACAGCCAAUAAGACACAGAAGAGGGCAGCUUCUCCCAGCUCCAAGUACAGCCAUCAUAUCGGCACCUCUGCUGCUAAGGAUGCAGCACGUACGCUAGAAGCCAACCAGGCAUAUGGCAUAGUACCCGUGGCCAACAAAAGGGACACCCACUCCAUAGAGCAGGCCAUGAAUGAGAUCCGGGACAAGAAACGUCAGAAGACAGGAGCGGAAGACACAGAGUAUCACCUCCUGAGAGGGCUUGUGUGUGUGUGUGUGUGUGUGUGUGUGUGUGUGUGUGUGUGUGUGUGAGUAAGUGACUGAGUGUAAAAGAGAGAAAAUGUGUGAGGAGCACAGAGGGAGUACUUCAAAUCUGUUCUUGUACAGUAUUAACCUACAGUUGGCCUACUACAGUAUAUUGAUAGAUCCUACAUGUUUUCCGGGACAUAUACAAUAGGUGAAACUCAUGGGUAUGGAUGGAAAGGCCUUGAAUUAUGAAUGUCCUCUGUCCUAGACCGGUUGACAUUUUUAUAUUCCAUGUUCCAACCAAAUUGGUAACUUGAAAGUCUUAUAAGAGCAUUUUCUCUAUUGGCUUACUUUCGGUCUACCCCAGUGUCCUGUAAUUCCUCCCACACAAAUGAGUCCCUUUCCCCAGUGAAAGUAAAGAGUAGCUGAGCACAACCAUGAGGGCCAACAAUUGGUUGCCAAGAGAAGAGUUUAGCCGUUGUCUGUUUUUGCCUUUACAAGGAAAAUAAUUAAUUUUGCGACAUCUAGUGGCAGUAAGGAAUUACUGCAUUUUUUUUUUAUUAUAAUGUUUUUCUGUUGUUUUUUGCUACAUCAUGUCUUUGUUCUCAGACUCAUAGUGUUUCGCACAAAUUAAGUGAAUUGCUAAAGACUUAACUUCAGAAUUAAACCACUGCAGUUUGUAGGCCUACGUGGUAGAUAUUAACAAACCUCAAGUGGACGAUUAUUUCAUUGUUGGUGGCAUAUUCAUGGCAUCUCACUGUCUAUAAAUCACUGUUGUGUAAUUUAGUCUGGUCAAACUGUAUCUGUGAGUCAAAUUUGAAUGCGGAUUGGAAUGAGUGUUCUAUGCUAUGUGGACAUUGCUGUGCUAUCGUUGUUUUAUUCUGUGUUUUUUCCCAUGCCCUGUCUAAAGAUUUCAGCAUAUUUGACAGUAAUCGUUUUAAUCCUUGUAUGUUUCCUGUAUGUUGAAAUAAAUGCUGGAGAAAUGUUGAA